AGUGGAGGCCGGCGUCGCGCGGGGCCGCGCACGGAGGGCCCGAGUCCGCGCCGCAGAGGGGCCGCCGCGAGACGUGCCACCGUGCAGGGACGUGAUCACUUGUAUCGACGCGUCAUGCUGCCGACUGAAAUGGAGAGGAGCACGUGGCAGUUAAGCGUUCCUGGUGCCCUAUUUCACGGCACCGACAAACGGAAUAUUACUUCUAAAACACUAUGAAAUACCAGGUCCUGUCCUCAGUGCUGUUUCGGGGGAAUUAAACGUUCACUGAUCGGGCUCUGAGCCUGGCCUAGGCUGUCUGUGAUCUGUGACUUACCUGCCGGACGUCUCUGCUGAUCCCCCACGUGUCCCCCCACCACUCCUGUUUGGUAUCCUGAUGUCAUGGAGAAGUUCCUCUGGCCCGCUAGAAAAAAGUUCCUCCCCCGUGUUAGUAAGUGUUCCCAAGUCUUGGCCAGACCUCACAGCAGACAACUUUGUUCCCCGGUGUUUGUGGUCAAGGCUGGGAGAGGCGCCGGAAAAGAGGGCUUUUCUGGCAAAAUUUCAGCCCUCAGUUUGAGUGGAGAUGGCUGCCUCCUCUUGCUUCCAACCAGUGCAGCCGACCAGAACAGGCAGCUGGGGGCCAGGAGAGGGCCUUCUAGCUGCUUGGGCCUGGCCCCACCCUAGGCGGCCCCACCAGCACAUCCACCCCAUAGCGGCGGCGGGAGGCUGGAGCUGCCUUCCCAGGGGCGAGGAGCUACCAGCAGUGAGGGCUGAGGGCCCAAAGUGAGUCCAGAGGGAAGUCUGUCAGGGUGUGCGUGGAGAGAGGUGAGGCCUCCCCCCACCGCAUAAGUAAGAAAGAAGCUAAGGGGGCGUAAGACAGGCAAAUAACAUCAGCGCCCACACUCCCAUCACGUCCUCUCUUCUAAGACCUUUGCCCAAGGCCACUCUCCCAGUCCCUCAGAGAAGAAGGCAGGAGUGAGGACGGAUGGGCCAGCCUGGCUGUUCUGUCACUGGACCUCACCAGGGUAGGGCUGAAGAGGGUCCAGAAAAGAAAGCUAGCUUAGUGGCCUGUGAAUUUCAUCUCCCCCCCCCCCCCCCAUCUACUUAAACUGAAAACAAACAAGUGAAACAAAACACAGAGGCACCAGGGCCACGGCCCAUGUGCCCCACAAACUGGGGGACCUGCCUGGCCUCUGCAGGCACCGGGUUCAACCAUGGAGGAGGGUUCCCCGGGACGGCCCACCCCUGGCAUGUUUGUGGACUCGGGAUCCACAACUGCCCUGCUUCUGGACCAGGAAAGCCCCUCCCCAGGGUCCCCACCCAGAGUCCUGGGCCCCGCUGUGCAAAACCCAGUCUCCUGAGUUUCCUAUAAACAACUUGCUCACUGGGGUUAAGACUCUCUCUCUCUCUCUCUUUCUCUCUCUCUCUC